rnacentral:rRNA from 1 species
UAGGGAAUCUUCGGCAAUGGGGGGAACCCUGACCGAGCAACGCCGCGUGAGUGAAGAAGGUUUUCGGAUCGUAAAGCUCUGUUGUUAAGGAAGAACGAGUGUGAGAAUGGAAAGUUCAUGCUGUGACGGUACUUAACCAGAAAGGGACGGCUAACUACGUUCCAGCAGCCGCGGUAAUACGUAGUUCCCGAGCGUUGUCCGGAUUUAUUGGGCGUAAAGCGAGCGCAGGCGGUUAGUAAAGUUUGAAGUGAAAGGCCUUGGCUCAACCUUUGUACGCUUUGGUAACUGUUUACCUUGCGUUCACAAGGGGAGAAUUGCAUUCCCUGUGUAGCGGUUAAAUGCGUAGAUAUAUGGAGGCACGCCGCUGGCGCGAUCUGCUCUCGUGUCUGUAACUUUCGCUGAGGCUCGAAAGCGUGGGGAGCGAACAGG